rnacentral:lncRNA from 1 species
UGGUGGUUCUACUCCUACCGAUGUCACAGACAGUGAUGAAAGAAGACCUGAUGACCUAGCAAUGGCUAUGUCAUAGGAGUUAUUCCCACACAGAACACUGACACCUCAUUUGGUAACCUUUACAGUCAGUCAGCUGUCUAAACAGUUUCUCUCUUAGAGAUUCUUAUAGAUACGUGAGUCAAGAGUAAUAUGCUAACUGGUGAUUAUGGCCUGAAAGAAAUAAUGACAGCAGUCCAAUACAGUGGAAAAGCUGAAAAAAAUAAACAGCUAAAAGUUCCACAUGGAUCAAAGUUAUCAACAUAAAACCAGAAUGAGCAUUUGUAUUGGACAAGGGCUGAACAAGAAUGCCAAUAUCCAUGCUAAAAUGGACAGACGAAAUCCCAGGAGCCUUUAACCUUACACAAAGAACUACCAGCAACAAUGGAAUGCUGAGAGUGGGAGAAACAGUCUUGUGAAUUCUUAAUCAAUUACCCAUUGGGUUUUCUUUAAGAAAUCUAUACUGCUCAGCAUGCAGGAGGUAAUUCGUACAGUAAAUACGUUGGAAGGUUGCCUGUUUACCCAUUGCAACAAAGUUGUUCAUUGUCAUGAUUCAAUCAGGAAGUAAUUGGAAAAUUCAUAAGGACAACAACAACAACAAAACAACAACAAUGUAAUAGCUUUUGCGGGAAAAUAAAAGAAUAUGUAGAAUUCUUCAAUAGAA